rnacentral:rRNA from 1 species
UACGAAGGGGGGCUAGCGUUGCUCGGAAUGACUGGGCGUAAAGGGCGCGUAGGCGGAUGGCUUUGUCGGGCGUGAAAUUCCAGGGCUCAACCUUGGGGCUGCGUUCGAGACGGGCGAUCUUGAGUUCGGAAGAGGGUCGUGGAAUUCCCAGUGUAGAGGUGAAAUUCGUAGAUAUUGGGAAGAACACCGGUGGCGAAGGCGGCGACCUGGUCCGGGACUGACGCUCAUGCACGACAGCGUGGGGAUCAAACAGGGAUUGAAGAAACCCCUG